rnacentral:rRNA from 1 species
GAUCCGGCUCAGGACGAACGCUGGCGGCGCGCCUAACACAUGCAAGUCGAACGGAGUUUACAGACGGAAGUUUUCGGAUGGAAGCUUGUAAACUUAGUGGCGGACGGGUGAGUAACACGUGAGCAACCUGCCUAUCAGAGGGGGAUAACGAUUGGAAACGAUCGCUAAUACCGCAUGACAUAGCGGAAUCGCAUGGUUCUGUUAUCAAAGAUUUUAUCGCUGAUAGAUGGGCUCGCGUCCG